UACGUAGGGCGCAAGCGUUAUCCGGAAUUAUUGGGCGUAAAGAGCUCGUAGGCGGUUUGUUGCGUCGGCUGUGAAAUCCCGAGGCUCAACCUCGGGUCUGCAGUCGAUACGAGCAAACUAGAGUGUUGCAGGGGAGACUGGAAUUCCUGGUGUAGCGGUGAAAUGCGCAGAUAUCAGGAGGAACACCAGUGGCGAAGGCGGCUUCCUGGACACUAACUGACGCUGGAGACGCGAAAGCGUUGGGGAGCAAACAGG
rnacentral:rRNA from 1 species